CCGCAGUCCUGACAGAAGAGCGAGCGAGGGUGCAUCAUGACGAGCAACAGGUCGUGUACUGGGAAGAUUUGGUGUUGAUGGAGGAGGCAACAUCUUCAAGGCAAAACCUUAGACCUGAUGCAACAUCAUCCAUACAUGAUGCAUACAUUUUUAUCUUUAAUGUGUAGGCACUUGAAGACCAGUGCCCAAUAUGCACAGGAACAUAUCCAGUGUCAGAAGUAGACCUGCCAUGCCAGCUUUUGUGGAGACAGUGAGGAGGAUGUGAUUCGUCAUGCAGCAGCACAGAUAAACACCACAAAGACAUCUGAAGUCUGUCACGAGAUAACACGUCUGAAGUUGUGGAAACAUAAAAACCAGGAAUUCCAGUCAAUCCCCUGAAAAUCACC